rnacentral:rRNA from 1 species
UGCGUAGGCGGAUUAAUAAGUCAGUGGUGAAAACCUGCAGCUUAACUGUAGACUUGCCAUUGAUACUGUUAGUCUUGAGUACGGUCAAGGUAGGCGGAAUGUGUAAUGUAGCGGUGAAAUGCUUAGAUAUUACACAGAACACCGAUUGCGAAGGCAGCUUACUGGGCCAUUACUGACGCUGAGGCACGAAAGCGUGGGGAGCGAACAGAAUUAGAUACCCUGGUAGUCC